UACGUAGGGUGCAAGCGUUAAUCGGAAUUACUGGGCGUAAAGCGUGCGCAGGCGGUUAUGUAAGACAGGUGUGAAAUCCCCGGGCUUAACCUGGGAACUGCAUUUGUGACUGCAUAGCUAGAGUACGGUAGAGGGGGAUGGAAUUCCGCGUGUAGCAGUGAAAUGCGUAGAUAUCAGGAGGAACACCGAUGGCGAAGGCAGGUCUCUGGGCUGAUACUGACGCUCAUGCACGAAAGCGUGGGGAGCAAACAGG
rnacentral:rRNA from 1 species